UAGGUAGGGUGCGAGCGUUAAUCGGAAUUACUGGGCGUAAAGCGUGCGCAGGCGGAUUGUUAAGCAAGAUGUGAAAUCCCCGGGCUUAACCUGGGAAUGGCAUUUUGAACUGGCAGUCUAGAGUGUGGCAGAGGGGGGUGGAAUUCCACGUGUAGCAGUGAAAUGCGUAGAGAUGUGGAGGAACACCGAUGGCGAAGGCAGCCCCCUGGGCCUGCACUGACGCUCAUGCACGAAAGCGUGGGGAGCAAACAGG
rnacentral:rRNA from 1 species